GACGAACGCUGGCGGCGUGCCUAAUACAUGCAAGUCGAACGCUCUUUUCUUAUCGAACUUCGGUUCACCGAGAAAAGGGAGUGGCGAACGGGUGAGUAACACGUGGGUAACCUACCCAUAAGCGGGGGAUAACAGUUGGAAACGACUGCUAAUACCGCAUAAGCUAUAAAGGUCGCAUGACCUAAAUAGUAAAGGUGGCAUUUAAAGAUGCUAUCACUUAUGGAUGGGCCCNGUCUGAUUAGCUAGUUGGUGGGUAGUGGCCUACCAAGGCAACGAUCAGUAGCCGGCCUGAGAGGGUGACGGCCACACUGGGACUGAGACACGGCCCAGACUCCUACGGGAGCAGCAGUGGGAAAUAGUGCGCAAAGUCGGGGGAAACCCUGACGCAGCGACGCCGCGU
rnacentral:rRNA from 1 species